rnacentral:tRNA from 1 species
CGCGGGGUGGAGCAGUUGGCAGCUCGUCGGGCUCAUAACCCGAAGGUCGUAGGUUCAAGUCCUGCCCCCGCUACCA